UGCUUUCAGCAGUCUUCCUUCUUGGGCAGGGAGGCAAUGGAAAAGAGCCCUGAUUGACUUACUUCCCAGCCUUAAGUAGGAUUUACAUAAGGCGGGAAUCCUUUGUUUCCAGUGGAAAAAUACCAGCAGUGUCCAAGGUGGUACUCCGUAUUAGAUGACAUCAUCAGGUGACCCUGCAGUGUCAAAACAACAUCCCAGGAAGCUCCUCAGGAAGGAUUUUGCUGCACACAGACUCCGUGCUUGCGAGAGGGGAAGGCGCCCGGAAGGUGCCCAGUAUCGGAGAAGGAUAUUCUAAGUAAUGCUGGAUAUUCCCAGUAACUCUACUUCACCUGGGAACAAACACCAGCAGGGAAGGCGCCUAGGAAGACAACAGGCGGGUACACGGGCAUCUCUCACUGAAUGAAUGGAACCAAGACUAACAAGAUCAAACCCAUCCUGAAAUGUCGUCUUGUGGCAGAAAUACACCUGUGAUGUUAAAAUCAUUGUUUAAAAGAUAAUAAAUUAUGAAAAGUGAUCACCAGAGAUACAUCAAUCCUCACUCUCCUCCUUUUUCAGCAGUAAUCAGGCCAGCGGCUAAUGCCAUUUGCAAAUGCAGCUCUUCAAUAAUGAUACUGUAGGGAACCCCAAGUGUGUAUUUCAUGUGUUCAUUAAGAUAAGUUGGUUUCUGACUGGCCAGGAUGAUGUCCCACUCUUUCUUGGGGCUUGUUCCUGCACCAUUAAAAUUAAUGGGAAUUUUUCCAUUGACUUGAAUGGGAGCAGGAUCAAGUCGUUAUGGAGGAUCAAUAUUAAUAAGAUACAUAUUUUCCACUUUUCGCUACGGUGGGCCCUGCCUCCUUCCUCUCCUCUUCCCUCAUGUUCCCACCCCCCGGGCUCCCCGUCCAGGGCAGAUGGAGGUGGAGGGUCCACCCUGGCUCCCCACAGCUGCCUGCGCGGCUCUUGUCCUGAGCCAACUCCAGCUGAGGGGCAGGGUCCUGGA